rnacentral:rRNA from 1 species
AACGCGAAGAACCUUACCCAGGUUUGACAUCCUUGGAAUUUCUCCGAAAGGAGAGAGUGCUUUAUUGAGCCAAGUGACAGGUGUUGCAUGGCCGUCGUCAGCUCGUGUCGUGAGAUGUUUGGUUAAGUCCAUCAACGAGCGCAACCCUUAUGUUUAGUUGAAUUUUUCUAGACAGACUGCCCUGGUAACAGGGAGGAAGGAGGGGAUGAUGUCAGGUCAGUAUUACCCUUACAUCUGGGGCUACAGACACGCUACAAUGGCCGGUACAAAGGGCUGCCAAGUCGCGAGACGGAGCAAAUCCCAUCAAAGCCGGUCUCAGUUCGGAUAGCAGGCUGAAACCCGCCUGCUUGAAGCUGGAAUCGCUAGUAACGGUAGGUCAGCACACUACCGUGAAUACGUUCCCGGGCCUUGUA